CCCCUGGCUCAGACAAGGGAGGUGGUGGACUGGCCAUGGCAGCUGUCCAGACUUGAUAUCACCCUGAACGUCCCCAAACCUCCCUCCCUCCACUCUUGCUUCGCCCUGACCAGAGAUGGAGGGUGGUGCUGGGAAUAGGAGGUAGGUGAGUGCCUGUCCUGGCCAACAGCAGAGGCCCUCGAGGGAAACUGCACCGCAGGUGUCACUCUAGAGCCCACAGCGGGGGCUGUCAACCUGGAGUGUGCAGCAGAAUCGCCUACAGCCCUCUGGCCCAGCCCCAGUGACUCUGGGUGAGUGGGUCUGGGGUGCAUUUCAAACAAGUUUCCAGGCGCUGCUGCCGCCAGUCCUAUCUGGAGACGACUCUCUGAGAAGCACAAGGUGGCCAGAGGGACAGGAGUGUCCUCAGACCGCCUCUCCCAGAGAGUGGGCCUCCUCAGUCCGCACCCCAGACAGGAUAUGCCAGCCUUGAAGCCUCUGUGGACAUCUCCAUGCUCAGGGGCGAUGCCCGGCCUCUGCCAACCACGCCAGCUUAGAUGAAGUCCAGGCACCUCCCUCAGUUCACCGUGUGCCCCUGAGCGAGUCUCUCGCCCACUCUGAGCCUCAGUUUCCUUAUCUGCACAGUGAGGAGGGGAGCAAGGCCACGUGCAGCUAUUUGAGCAGGUGUUGUGGCUGUUGAGCUGAAGUCUCACCAUCAUAGCUUGUGUUGUAAAGCAAGGAGCAGCAAGCUACGGGUCUGCAGGCCAAAUUUAGCCUGCUGCUUGUUUUGUAAAUAAAGUUUUACCGGCACACAGUCAUGC
rnacentral:lncRNA from 1 species